rnacentral:sRNA from 1 species
UUUACUGAAAGUAUCUUGAUGGCCUUUUCUUGGAAACUGACUACUCAUAGAGAUCCGUGCUCAGCUCACAGAGCAGAUGAAAUGCCUGGACCAGCAGUGUGAGCUUCGGGUGCAACUGUUGCAGGACCUCCAGGACUUCUUCCGAAAGAAGGCAGAGAUUGAGAUGGACUACUCCCGCAACUUGGAGAAGCUGGCAGAACGCUUCCUGGCCAAGACACGCAGCACCAAGGACCAGCAAUUCAAGAAGGAUCAGAAUGUUCUCUCUCCAGUCAACUGCUGGAAUCUCCUCUUAAACCAGGUGAAGCGGGAAAGCAGGGACCAUACCACCCUGAGUGACAUCUACCUGAAUAAUAUCAUUCCUCGAUUUGUACAAGUCAGCGAGGACUCAGGAAGACUCUUUAAAAAGAGUAAAGAAGUCGGCCAGCAGCUCCAAGAUGAUUUGAUGAAGGUCCUGAACGA